rnacentral:rRNA from 1 species
AACGAACGCUGGCGGCAUGCCUAACACAUGCAAGUCGAACGAGACCUUCGUAUCUGCUGGCGCACGGGGGCGUAACGCGGGGGAAGGUGCCGGUAGGUUCGGAAUAACUCUCCGAAGUGGGUGCUAAUGCCGGGAAAUUUCUGCGAACCAAAGAUUUAUCGACUUUGUAUGAGCACGCGUUGUUUUCACUAGGUGGUAGGGUAAAAGCCGACCAAGGCGACGAUCCAUAGCUGGUCUGAGAGGAUGAUCAGCCACACUGGGAGUGAGCCACGGUGCAGACUCCUACGCGAGGCAGCAGUGGCGAAUACUGGCAAACCGGGGAAAGCAUGAUCCAGUACUGCCGCGUGAGUGCUGAAGUUCUUAGGGUUGUACAGCACUUUUACCCGCCAUGAUACUGACAGUACCCGGAGAAUAAGCUCCGGCUAACUUCGUG